AUUUUCAUCUUGGGAGUCAGCGAGAGGCAGAUGGGGAGCAGGGUGGGAUGGAGAGGUGCUGCAGGAGGAUGUUGCGCACUUCAAUUUACCUCCGGAGCGAGUGGUCUGUGCAUCCAUGCGGUGCUGCGCGAUGACUUAACUUAUGAGGUACUGUUUGUGUCUGUGUUGUUAUUGUCUGUAUCUAUAUAGAUUUAUGUUUCUUUAUUUAACUUUUGAUAUUUCUUUAUGGCAAAAUUAUAAGUAGGAGCGAAUUAUGUUUGAUUUAAAGUUACAGAGGAGGGAAAAUAUUAUUAUAAAACUAGUGCAAGAAAAAAAAAUUCAUAAGAUAAAACUAUAUGUUUUCAGAUGAUUUGGACUCUUUUGUUUCUGUUGCACCUGUCAAAGUUUGUCAUGCUGUGCAGUAGUUUCCAGCAUGGCAUAUUUAAAACAUAUAAUGUGUUUAAAAAAAAAAGGAAAUAAAGAAAAAAUAGUUACCACUUCAUUUAAUAGUCUUUUGCUCUAUAUAGGCCUGAAGUUAAAAUUAUAUAAUAUUGUUUUUCCCAUUGUUUAAAUAGUGUUAAAAUAGAAUACCCUUCAAUGAGUUUAUUUUUCUGAAUGCGUGUCAUUAAUUCUCUCAUCGUGUUCGUUUGUACAUCUAAAGUGCGUGCACCUUGACUCAGCUUCAUCCAUCCAGAGGUUUCUAUGUCAUACGCACUUUUUAUUCCUGAUGUAAACAAACCUCCAAAAGCAAUACUCCUCUUUGACACUGGGUGGCGUACUUCUGCAGAGUUAGAGCUCUCAGAAUGAGUCAGAUGUACUGGAAAACAUUGAUACAGCACUACUAAAUGAGAGACGGUGGGUGUAUGUUUUUAUGUUUUUAUUCAUUUUGUGCCUCAUUACUUUGUUGGGUUGGGGGCGCUUGACCAGUAGAUUUGCUGAGUGCUUCAGAGGCACAGUAACAGAAACGUUGUACACAGUUGUUAUAGCACAGGCUCUAAGGAAAUAAAUAUAUUGUGGACUAAAGAACAAAGUUAAUCUUAUCUUUUCUUCCAGAUAAAUAUCGCGAUUCCUCUCUUCACAAAGGAAAAUGAGGUAUUACUUUCAACUUUCUGCGGAAGGUAAGAGCCAGUACACUUCCCAGCACAUACAGACAUCAGUGCAGAAGCUCACUGUUUAUAUCAAUCACUGUCAAAAAGCCAUAGCUGAGAAAACAUUUGCAUUAUUUAAGUGCAGGGUGUGGUCAGCAGUCACGUGCAUACAGUACAAGCAGAAUUAUAGACAUUUACAAGUGCACAGUAUCAAAGUGUGCAAAGGUCAUUCUUCACAUUAUGUCAGUACAGAGGCAUCUUUUUGUCUGACUUUUUGUCCGACUUUUUGUCCAACACUGUGAUGUCAGAAAAAGCUGAGCUGAGGGGGAAACAUUCACCGUGUUGUAUUUUUGACAUGUCUCGAAAUAAUGCCCGGGAUUUUGUCUCAGGACCUGCCGAGGAUGAAGCAGUCCGAAGCUUCUCUUUCAUCACAGGGUGCGUGCGUGGAGAGUUUCUGAAUGGUAACUUCAAAUCAGGUAUCAGCUCCGUUCUCUGAUUUGCAUGACAAAUGAAGACUCAUCUGAUCAAGGUAUGUGAACCAUCAGAUAAAACUGCAAAGACCCACAUUCUUAAAAUAAACUCUGCGAAUGUUUGACAGAACCAAAACAGACUAUUUAUAAGACAGGAAUGCAGUCCCUUUUUAAAGGUACAGCUACGUUAUUUAACCGCCGCUUUACGUUUAUUGCAACACACUUGCAUAAAUAUUCCACCGUCGUGUCUUACUUUGCAGUUACGUUCUCGUUAUUUUACCAGAUACGUCAUUAGAUUCGAUUAUUUUUAGUAGAAACGACGGAUGAAAUGUUGCUCUGCAUUUCCUCCAGGGAGAUUUGUGGUAGGAAGCACCUAGAACAGAAAGAGGAAGUAUACGUCGUGGGCGUAUUAAUGGUAAAGUGUCAGAGUAUGGUUAUGACAGCCAAUCACUUCACAUUGCAUUCACCCACUCUGGACGUAAAGAGCGCUGACAUUAAAUGAGGAGUGCCAUGUGUUCUGCGUCACAAGUCGCUAUAGUAACCAAUGUACGGAUAUUACUAAAGAAUCACAACAUAAAACCAGAGCGCCGUGCAAAUGUCGCCUUCGGUGCAGAUUCAGAGACGAGAAGAAUCCCUCAUUAGACUUGUGUUUAAAAAAAAAAAAAAAAAAAAAAGCUAAAAGACCGUCUGCUUAUGCAACUGAUACACAAGCCGGUGAUGUGCCUUUAAAACCAGUGGGUUGUCAGGUGAUCGAGGAGACUCAGUCAGCUCAGCCUCACAGACAGAGAAAGCCAGAGUGCGUCUCUCGCUGAGAGCAGAGAGGAAAGCGCCAGAGAGGAGGGCAGCGGAGAGAGAGAGGGAGAGAGACCCAAUUAUAAGGGGACAUGGGGGGAAAUGGGGACACGGCAACGUCACAGAGUGGGGGACAGGGAGCCGUGGUGGUAGGGUCCCUUUAAACUGCAGUCUGUUCAUGCUCACAUGCCUUGUGUGGCAGCUAGCAAGUGUGUCUUUGCAGCUCAGCUUGAUCAAGAAGUUGCGUCGUAUCGCCACAACAGAGGUUAUAAAAGCACAGAGAAUUAAGUGCUGCGUCACACCCGGGAAGAGGAAUAGCGUGAUCAUGCGCGCUGCUGUGCGUGUGUGUCUGUGUGUGUGUGUGUGUGUGUGUGAUUGCGGGUCUGCUCUGUUUCCUUGUAUAUGUGUCAGUUGGAAGUAGCAGUCUAAGAGCAGUUUAUGCUGUUGCAACAAGAUGAAAAUAAAGAGCGCAUGUGUUUUGAGAGGCAAGCCGAAACGGGGAGAGAGAGGGAGAUACAGAGAGAGAGAGAGGGAGGGAGAGCAAGUCAGAGAGAGAGAGAGAGAUUUUGGAUUAGUUGCUACGUCACUUUUUCAUGUCAGGAGAAACAGAAGCUGAGAUAACAGAAGCCCAGAGUCAUCGAGUUUUCCACCUGAAGUCGACACAAUGGUUUCGGACAACCUUGGCUUUCUCCUCCUCUUCCUCUUCCUCCUUGGUAGUUUUGAUCUGCUCUGCCUGUCGCUACCGUGUAUAUAUAUAUAUAUAUGUGUGUGUGUGUGUGUGUGUGUCUGUGGGCGCUGUUUAGUUCCUGUGAGCUGAUAUUGGGAGUUUCAACAUGGAUGCUGAAGAUGUUUUUCUAGGUCUUGUUUUGAUAGCAUCGUAAGGUGUGUGUGUGUGUGUGUGUGUGUGAUCGGUGGCCAGAGGUGCGACAAAGGGGUUAACAAAAGAAUAUUCUGGAAGGUUCUUAAUAUCACAGCGAAGCUCAGAGAGGAAUGUUUUUGCAGAGAAUUAUUGAGGUAUUUGAACAUCGCUUUUUUAUUUUUUUUAUAGCGCCAUCAGCUUAAGGAAUACGGACGAUCACAUUUGUGCAAAUAGGUGAAUACAAUCAUGCAUGGUGCCGUCCCGACCUAUUAGGAAAGCGUAUCAUGUGUCUAAUACACCAUCAUAUGGGGGAGUGUGUACAGAUGCAGCCAGGUGGACAAGCAGCCGUCAAAAGAUUAUAGGAUAAGUUCAUCGCUCAGCCAAGAGGGUGAACAUAUGUGUGUGUGUGUGUGUGUGUGUCUAUGUUCGAACCGUUGGCCUACUUGUUGUGAUUUAACUCUUGAUGGAGUUGACGGAAAGGCCGAUGCUGGAGGAGGAGAGAAAGGGAGAGAGAGAUGACGGCAGAUUGGCUGAUGGCGACAUACAGCUGGAUCCCGACCAAUGGAUCCGCUUGGUGUCUGUGGCUAGUGGCACUUUUUGUCAUGUGACUUGUUUUCACCCUCCAGGGCCACUGGGAUUUGGCAGAACCUUUCCCAAGACACAUUUGUUUCUGCGUAGUUAGGAGAGACGGAGAUGGUGACGCAGUCAUUUCUGGGCUGGACUUCUCUUCGACCAGUACACAGCUUGUGUCUCUCCCUUUUCUCUAUCUAUCUGCUCAUCUCUUUUAAUUUGUCUCUCUCUCGGAGAAAGGGGGGGGGGACAACAGAAGGGGCUAAAUGUCAUGGCUCUGGAACAAAGGGAGAAAGGAGGAGGAAGAAGAGAGCGAGAUAGAAAGAAUGAAAGAAAGAGAGAGAGAAGUUGUUUACCUUGCUCUCUUGGUGACUCUGCUUUGGCUUCUCUCCAGCUCACAUGCACUGGACUUCCUAAAGCUGCUGCAUCACAGGCCACUGUGCCAAAGCUGGCUUCUCAUUGGAUGGGAGGAGCUCCCUGUGGCUCCACGAGCUGCACAGCAGCGCUUUAUUGGCCAAGCAGCUGGAGUUCAAGAGAUCUGAUUGGUUAAGAAUCACUUGUUCUCCUGUGCAGAGAGGUUUUCCAGGAUACACAAAUGCCAUGUAUGUUUCUACUUGUUGAGCUGUUAGUUUGUAAAAAAAGUGAACUGGGGAUCUUUUGUGAAAGUGGUAACAUUUGUUUCCUGUGUGUGUUUAGAAAGACUGAAAGCGACGAAUGAGUUGUGUUUUUAUGAGAAAUGUCUGCAUUAUCGACCGUCAGUCGUCUUUGUGACGCUUUGUCUAACAAAUGUUUGCUACAACAUUUGUUUAGUUUACAAGAUGAUGAAUUUUCUUGGAAUAACUUCCAACGUCUUAACGACUGGAAAAAACGGCAGAGACUCAUUCAGUUAAUGUGUUUAUUUUAUGAAAGUAUGCUUGCCUGUAGACGUUUUUUUUUUUUGUUUUGUUUUUUCACGUGACCUGCUAUGCACUCAGUGCACCAGCCGUUAAUGAGAAUUAAUUAACUGGAAGUGCAACCAAUCGGAGUCCGUCUUUAGUUUGUCCAAGAAUUCAUACCGAAUUACAGAAAGUCCCUUCCAGGAAACUUUCUACAAAAUUAAUAAUGACAUAUCAGGAAUUGAUAUGAAACUACGGGGUCCGUAACAUGAGGCUGCUCUGCGUCUUCUGCAUAGCGUGCAUGCCUGACACACUCUGAUACCUGUGAUGAGGGCGGCGACCGCAGGAAGGAUUUAAAUCCCCCGACAAGAGAGGUCUGCUCGUUCUUUGGCUGGAAGUCCCAACGUCCAAAAUAUGCCACAACUCCGAGAUAAUGCAAGUGUGUGUGUGUGUGUGUGUGUGUGUGUGUGUGUGUCCGUGGUCUGCAUUGCAGCUCCUGCUUCUACAGUCAGCGUCUUUCUCUCUCUUUCACUCUCACUCUCUCUUCUAAAUGUGCUGAUGGUAUAAUAUACUGUAUACUGUCGCUGCCUGUUUAUGUUUCCUUUAUGAAGACGACUGUGAAGAAGAAGAUGAUUCUUAGUGUCAGUACGCUCGCAGUCACCUCGUCACGACGAGCUGCUUUAACUUGGUAGUAUUUCAAAAGAAAAGUACAACUGCAAGCGAACAAAUCGCUUAUCGUGCAUGUCUUGCUGCAGUUCACUCACUCAGCGAUAUUCCUGUUUCUGUCUAAACAAGGACAGCUGUGAAGAUAUUCAUCCCUGUGGGUUUCCCCAGGGUGCUGCACAGUUCCUUCCUGAUCCUGCCGUCUGACCGCUCUCUGAUGGCCUCCUGUCCCUUUAAAUCUUUUAUAAGCAUUACACAACAGGUCCAGUGGCACACAAGCAGCAAACAACCCCGAAAAAGAAAACUGACAGGGUUGGGUUGUGCCAGUCAGGCGAAGGAACCAGACACCUACAGGCCUUCUGAUCGGAGUCGUCACUGUGGCUACAGUGCAAAACACACACACACACACACACAUGUGCAUACAUAGCCUUAUACACCCUCACACGCAAACCAACAAAACAAAAUGGGCUUAGUCCAUCAGAAGCCUGAGGACGUGUAAGGACUGAAGGGAUUGCUGUGAAAAUCAAAGUAAAUCACAUCUGAUGUUUCGAGGCUCCGGCUCCGGCUUGGCUUUUUUUUUUUUUUUGGCUUUAAUCAAGUUUCAAGACGAGUAGCAUUCAUGAGAGUUGUCAUUGCUUACAUGGAGAAAUGAAGCCAGACUGUGUGUGGGUGUCUGUUCUGGAGGGAUAGGGGCGGUUUGAGACAAGACAAUGAACCGUCACCUGCACGCAAAGAGUGAAAUCAGCACAUGGGGGAGAAAAUGGUUGGGUAGUUUUGUACUUUUUUUUUUGUUGUUGAAGCACUUGGCAACAAGUCAGUGAACUGGCCACUACCUGUCGUUGCCCCACCCUCUCAGUAUAUUGUAGCUGCAUGUCUGCGUCAUGGCUCUCAUUGCCAGCGAUUGACUCUCACUUCCUUGCUUUUUUUUUUUUUCCCCCCCGUGUAGUGGCUGGAGAUCAGCGGGGCGGCCACUAUUCUACCGAGCAACAGAGAGGAGAGGACUCAUCGAGGUCCGUCUGCAGAUUAAAUGCAUUCCACGCCACAGAAGAACGCCUUUCGUCAGAAGUGCCCCCCUUGGAAGCUGGUUUCAGAUGGUGGCUUAGAGUAUCGUCAUCUAUCUAGCACCAUUUGAAAUCAGUGUUCUUGGGGUGGGAAGUUUAUUUCACCCGCCAGCGACAGGCAGCUGUGACGAGUCACAAGAGGAUGUCCAAAGAGACGGACGACUUCGUCUGGAAAGCAUCGCUCCCUGCAGCACUACUCCGUGGGCUACAAACCACCGGUGAUGUUUAGACAGCUCAAGCUCUUUGUCCUCAAUCCAAGGUUGACCGAUUUCUUUUGGUGUUCAGAGUAUGCUUUUGUUUCUAGCACCAUUUGAAAUCGGUUACAGUGAAGGACAGAUCUCGUCUUAACUUCAGGAAGAUUUCGCAAUUCCCCAUCGUGGAUGGACUGCAAUGAACUUUUGUCACGUUACUCUUACAGUGUCUUUAUGUUUUCUGCCCCACCUGGAUCUCUCACUGAUAUCUAGAUGUUUGCAGAUGUUGUCAGAUCCUUCAGUUAAAGUAUAAAGUACUUCAUAUAUUUUGAUUAAAAGUCCUGUAUUUUAUUUAAAUAAAUUUAGUAGUAUUAGCAUGAUGUAUUGUUUUGUAUGUGAACCUUUAAUCUGUACAGUAACACACCCGUCAAAUAAAUGUAGUCAGCUAAAAAGAUGAUAUGUGUCUCCUUUUGUAGUGAUGCAAAAACAUGAAACAUAAGUACUUUAAAGUUGUACUUAGGUACUGUACUUCAGUAGAAAUCCACAAGGUGGCACUGUGAAAUACAAAUGAGGAAUUCUGUUUUGAUUAGUCUGUAUUUAUUUUGGUGAGCUCAGUUGGUAGAGCAUCAUUCCCCAUCUCUCUCCCUACU